UUCUCCAUACAUCGUUUCUAAAUAAAAAAAAUUACUAUCUAAACGUCCUACGAAACCUUAUUCAUCUCGCGAUGUGUUUUUCAACGUAACGGAUUUCCGCAGCAUCCCGGAGAGUCCAAAACCUAGUUUAUUCUUAAGCUUAUAAACUCGAAGCCGACUCUUCUACAGAAAUCGUCUACCGCCUCCAACAACAGGGUGUAGAAACGGCUAAAACAAGGAGUAUAUAUGACUAGAGACCAGAUCAGUCAUGAUGAGACUUGUGAUAGCGGUGGUGUGCAAUUGUGGUCAGAUCUUAACCAUGAUGUGCUGCUUUUAGUUAUGAUGCGAUUGGGAGUCAUUGAUUUUCUUUCGUUAUGUGGAGUUUGCAAGUCAUGGAGGUCAUUCGCACUCUCCAACUGGAAUAGGUUUAUGGCAUCCAAACCACCCAUGUCCAUGAGUAUAUCUGCUAACGUUAAUGAGAGAGAAGAGCGUUACCUCUAUCUAGAGGACUUUGAUGGAAGAAAUUUCAAAACCAUUCUUCCCCGUUUGUUUGGAGUGGAUUUUGUUGGGUUAAGUUGUGGUUACUUGGCGUUUUAUGGGAAGGAAACGCAUGAAUUUUGGCUUGUGAAUCCUAUCACAAGGCAUCAACUUCAUUUCCCUCAUGUCCCCUUUGAUGUCGAUGGUAUUGUGUAUGGAAGAGUCAGGCUUAUUCUUAUGUUUUCACCUUCUAUACCAGGGUGGGUAUUGGUUGUGGAAAAUCAACUCUGUGAUGAAAUAUGGUCCUCAAUAGCGGGUAAAGGAGCAUGGAAUCUUGUCUCAUCCCGUUUCCCUUUCCACCUCUUUGAUUUUCAUGCUUUCAUGGGGAAGGUGUAUGCCAUAAGCUACACAAUUGGAAAAAAAAAGAUAUAAAUUUCGAUUAUGUAAAAUGAGACUCGAUCCACGUCCCAAAUUGACUUUACUUGAAACCAAGAAUUAUCCGGACACAAAUGAUCUGCCGUUGUUUGUAAGUUCGGGAGAAAACCUUUAUAUGAUGCACUAUAUUUCAGAAGACUGGUAUGAUUUUCACGAACUAGAUUUUGGUGAAAUGAAAUGGGUGUCCCUCGAAAAGACAAGAGAAGAGUAUGCAUUUUUUUGAACUGCUGGAAUAUGCAAGUAUGUGUUUUUAGACCAGAGUCGUGGACUGGCCCUUGGUUAAAGUACAAGAGAUAUGGUGGCACUAAGAACAUUACCAAAGACAAUUGUGGGUUCUAUACCACAAAGAUGUGGUACUUCCCCCAUGAAUGUUUGAAUGUUAAUCUCAUACAUGUGUGAUGACUUGUUAAAACUCCUUUCUCUGUUUUUAUCUUUGCAUAUGUUGGAACAUUUUCAAGAUAUUGAGAAGCACCAUUCGUUGAUUGGGAUUUUUAAAGAUGUGGUACUUCUCCCAUGAAUGUUUGAAUGUUAAUCUCAUACACGUGUGAUACUUUGAUCCCUUUCUAAAGUAAUGGGCUUGUUAAUUACAUGUACCAUGUAUAAAAACAAUAUUAAAUUUCUGUACAGUUUAUAUUUAUAUAUUUAUAAUAAACCAACCAAAAGCUACAAAAAGAUAAUCUACCUCUACCCUACCUAAUAAAGAGUAGCUCCUACCUAAUAAAAGAAUAGCUUUAUGUACACAUGUAUUUUUUUUCCUAAUUUACACUUUUUUUCACACAAAUUCUAAAAAUUACACGUGUCAUGUAUUCCCGCUCAGAAUAUUGAAAUCAAUCUAAUCCGUGUAAUAUCUCUCAUAAUCUUUUAGCUACAAAUCAGGGAUUACCUAUCAAAAAUUAAUCGGAACAAAUUUGAAGACACUAUCUUCUCUCUCAUCCACGGUUUUGUAGACAGAUGGAAACAAUUGACGUUUUCCAAAGUCAUGCCGAGAAAUCAGGUUUCAAAUAACCGGGAUUUUCGUCUUGAUUACCAAAUCUCCCCAUUGUCAAUCUCUCAAUUUAUAGUUUUCCUUAACCAUUGAACCUACAGUUUUUCUUCUUGUAUUCACUGUUAACCUAGACGAAUUGAAGACUUGCAAUUUCAAGUUGUUAAUCUCGAUUUUAGCAUUUACAAUUCAUUGUUUUGAUUUAGGUUUCUUGAAGUAGAGAAUCCAAAACGUGCCACUGCUUUGAAAUCUUACCAAAGUGAUUCAUGUCAUCUCCUACUAUAGAGUCGCAUCAGGACUUGUCGACUUUUGGAGGAAAGGGCAAUAUGGUCGACCACACAAAAAGCUUCAAUUGAAGCCAUCGAAAGAAAAUCAAAGUCUUAUAAUGCUGAGAUUGCUUUGUUAACAGAUAAAAUAUCAUAGGUGAGGAAUGAACCAGAGGCCUGCAGAGAAACAUACAAUAUCAUCAAUGAAAAGCUGGCUAUUGCAGAAGAAAAGUGGAAAGGGAGAAAUCAUGCAUAUUUGCCCUUAUAUCAUUCAGGGUUUUUCAAGUUUUAGGCCCAAGGGCAUUUUUGUCUUUUGACACGUACAGUAUAGAGAAAUCACUUGAAAUUGAACGACGAAAGAGUGAUCUUAUACUACUUGAUGAUCAGAAGAAAACAUCAGAAUAUAUAAGUUUUAUAUUUAUUUUUUUAAUUUACAUAUAACCUUAUAAGGUUAUAUUUUUUUCUUUUUUUGUAAAUUCACACAUAUGAAAAAAAAAAAGUUUUAGAUAUUGAAAAGAAAACCAAGAGUCAAAUUUCUAUUAGUAAAGUGACAAAAAAUUCAGACGGUCAAAUAGUCAUCAGUUUUGUAUCUCAUACCCUGUAAGGGUAUUUUCGUAAUAUUGUAAAUUCAAAAAAAAUGAAAGAAAAUAAAUAUAGAAACUAAAAAGUAAACCAAGAGUCGAAUUUCUAUUAGAAAAAUGAUAUAUUUCAGAUGGUCAAAUAGUCAACAAUUCUGUAUAUCCACAGAACUUACUGAAUCAAAUUGUUAAGAUGACAAAACAAAAAGAGAGGUGUUAGUGGUUCAGAUUCAGGAAAAACAAUUGCUCAUGGAAACAUGUAAUAGGUAAAAAGUAGAAAACCAAAGUUAGUUGCCAUUUUUGGAUUUUUCAUUUAACUUAAUUUGUUUUUUAUAUGUAUUUUUACCAGCUUUUGAAUACAAAAGCUAAAGUUGAAGAGUUGAGAAUGAAACUAUCUGCCCUAGAAGCCAAAACCCACAGUGUAAGUUCCUUUUCUCUUAAUAAAUGUUUUUUGACUUUCCAAUAAACAUGUUUACUUUGACUUUGACUUUAAAAGGUUGAUAUAGAGAGGGUGAAAUUGAGAAAGAGGUUAAAUGGAGCACAAAAAAGGUUGGAUGGAAUGAGAAUGAGAGGUGUAAAGAAGAAAUAGAGGAGAAAGAAUUCAGGAAUAAAAAGUUUGAAGAGGCUGUUGCAAAACUGAAAACAUGAACCCUAAAUAGCACCUUCUUAUGAAAGAGUAAUAAUCAACAAUACAAUAUUUGUAAAUCAAAUAAAAUACACACAUCUUGUAUCAUUAUUGUGUUGACUUGAUCAUCUCCUAGAUUGUUAAAGUUAGAACUUUAGAAGAAGGAUAAUAAA